rnacentral:misc_RNA from 1 species
UCAGCGGGUAGUCUUAGAGAAUUGGGGGCCAAACGGCACAAAAGAAGCGUUGAUUUUUUUGUGGAUGGAAUUUAAGGCUGAGCCUAAGAAUGAGAGAAAUCGCCGCCCAAUCAUCCAUGCCUGAAAGAAUGCUUCCAGGCGCAAUGUGCGUUCAAAGAUUCAUGAUUCACGUUUGCAAAUUAUAAUACUUAUCGCAAUUCGCUGCGUUCUUCAUCGAUACGAGAGCCA